AGGGAAAUGUAUAACACUAACCCAGGUAAAUAACAAGGGAAAUGUAUUACACUAACCCAGGUAAAUAACAAGGGAAAUGUAUAACACUAACUCAGGUAAAUAACAAGGGAAAUGUAUAACACUAACCCAGGUAAAUAACAAGGGAAAUGUAUUACAAUAACCCAGGUAAAUAACAAGGGAAAUGUAUAACACUAACCCAGGUAAAUAACAAGGGAAAUGUAUAACACUAACCCAGAUGAAUGAGGGGCUUAUUAUGUCUAACUGUAACGACUCCGACGAAAACCAGCAAUGGAUGUUUACACACUACAAUCCUAGUGGGAUAUCUUACAAAGAUCUAGCAGAGCCAGCUCAUUUAUAAUUUAAAAUAAAGUAUAUUGUUAGUGUGCAAUGUGCUGUACACUUUUGUUUUCAUGUUCAAUAAAAAAUUUUUAU